rnacentral:rRNA from 1 species
UACGAGGGGGGCUAGCGUUGCUCGGAAUCACUGGGCGUAAAGCGCACGUAGGCGGAUUUCUAAGUCAGGGGUGAAAUCCUGGAGCUCAACUCCAGAACUGCCUUUGAUACUGGGGAUCUCGAGUCCGGAAGAGGUGAGUGGAACUGCGAGUGUAGAGGUGAAAUUCGUAGAUAUUCGCAAGAACACCAGUGGCGAAGGCGGCUCACUGGUCCGGUACUGACGCUGAGGUGCGAAAGCGUGGGGAGCAAACAGG